rnacentral:rRNA from 1 species
GAUGAACGCUGGCGGCGUGCCUAAUACAUGCAAGUCGAGCGAACAGACGAGGAGCUUGCUCCUCUGACGUUAGCGGCGGACGGGUGAGUAACACGUGGAUAACCUACCUAUAAGACUGGGAUAACUUCGGGAAACCGGAGCUAAUACCGGAUAAUAUAUUGAACCGCAUGGUUCAAUAGUGAAAGACGGUUUUGCUGUCACUUAUAGAUGGAUCCGCGCCGCAUUAGCUAGUUGGUAAGGUAACGGCUUACCAAGGCAACGAUGCGUAGCCGACCUGAGAGGGUGAUCGGCCACCCUGGAACUGAGACACGGUCCAGACUCCUACGAGAGGCAGCAGUAGGGAAUCUUCCGCAAUGGGCGAAAGCCUGACGGAGCAACGCCGCGUGAGUGAUGAAGGUCUUCGGAUCGUAAAACUCUGUUAUUAGGGAAGAACAAAUGUGUAAGUAACUAUGCACGUCUUGACGGUACCUAAUCAGAAAGCCACGGCUAACUACGUG